rnacentral:rRNA from 1 species
AUGGACAUCGCCGGCGAGCUCCCUCCUCCACGUGGCUCUGAUGCCAAUUGUUGGAACCGCCAGUCCCUCGCCGCACUCCUCCUCGCCCUCUCUGUCGUCGUCGCUCGAGCUCACCAGAGAAAAGAGGAAGAAGUUCAGAGAGAUUCAGAGAAGCAGUGGACACAGGUGUUUUUCCGGCGCACGAACGCCCCCUUUUCUUCGCGAGCACGAACUCGACUGUGUCAAUUUGUUACAAUGCCAUCAGGUGGCUUUAUACCCCGAGCCGGCGCACGGGGCACGCACCCACGCCUCCACUCACCCCUGAUCUUCCCCGCGCUCUCUGCGCACUGA